rnacentral:rRNA from 1 species
AGAAUCAACGCUGGCGGCGUGCCUAACACAUGCAAGUCGAACGAGAAAGUGGAGCAAUCCAUGAGUAAAGUGGCGCACGGGUGAGUAACACGUGACUAACCUACCUUUUAGUGGGGGAUAACCUAGGGAAACCUGGGCUAAUACCGCAUAACACUUACGAGUCAAAGCAGCAAUGCGCUGAAAGAGGGGGUCGCGGCCGAUUAGCUAGUUGGCGGGGUAAUGGCCCACCAAGGCAGUGAUCGGUAUCCGGCCUGAGAGGGCGCACGGACACACUGGAACUGAAACACGGUCCAGACUCCUACGGGAGGCAGCAGUGGGGAAUUUUGCGCAAUGGGGGAAACCCUGACGCAGCAACGCCGCGUGGAGGAUGAAGUCCCUUGGGACGUAAACUCCUUUCGAUCGGGACGAUAAUGACGGUACCGGAAGAGACGCCCGGCUAACUCGUGCCAGCAGCCGC